AACCCAGUGCAAUUCGUUGCACUAUCGUUAACUGAAUACAUAGGUUAACGAGGCGAACCGGGGGAACUGAAACAUCUAAGUACCCCGAGGAAAAGAAAUCAACCGAGAUUCCCCCAGUAGCGGCGAGCGAACGGGGAGCAGCCCAGAGUCUGAAUCAGCUUGUGUGUUAGUGGAACGGUCUGGAAAGUCCGACGGUACAGGGUGAUAGUCCCGUACACCAAAAUGCACAGGUUGUGAACUCGAAGAGUAGGGCGGGACACGUGGUAUCCUGUCUGAAUAUGGGGGGACCAUCCUCCAAGGCUAAAUACUCCUGACUGACCGAUAGUGAACCAGUACCGUGAGGGAAAGGCGAAAAGAACCCCGGCGAGGGGAGUGAAAAAGAACCUGAAACCGUGUACGUACAAGCAGUGGGAGCACCUUCGGGUGUGACUGCGUACCUUUUGUAUAAUGGGUCAGCGACUUAUAUUCUGUAGCAAGGUUAACCGUAUAGGGGAGCCGCAGGGAAACCGAGUCUUAACUGGGCGUUAAGUUGCAGGGUAUAGACCCGAAACCCGGUGAUCUAGCCAUGGGCAGGUUGAAGGUUGGGUAACACUAACUGGAGGACCGAACCGACUAAUGUUGAAAAAUUAGCGGAUGACUUGUGGCUGGGGGUGAAAGGCCAAUCAAACCGGGAGAUAGCUGGUUCUCCCCGAAAGCU
rnacentral:rRNA from 4 species